rnacentral:rRNA from 1 species
UGGCUCAGGAUGAACGCUGGCGGCGUGCCUAAUACAUGCAAGUCGAACGCACAGCGAAAGGUGCUUGCAUCUUUCAAGUGAGUGGCGAACGGGUGGGUAACACGUGGAUAACCUACCUCAAGGUUGGGGAUAACAUUUGGAAACAGAUGCUAAUACCGAAUAAAACUUCGUAUCGCAUGAUACAAGGUUAAAAGGCGCUACGGCGUCACCUAGAGAUGGAUCCGCGGUGCAUUAGUUAGUUGGUGGGGUAAAGGCCUACCAAGACAAUGAUGCAUAGCCGAGUUGAGAGAUUGAUCGGCCACAUUGGGACUGAGACACGGCCCAAACUCCUACGGGAGGCUGCAGUAGGGAAUCUUCCACAAUGGGCGAAAGCCUGAUGGAGCAACGCCGCGUGUGUGAUGAAGGCUUUCGGGUCGUAAAGCACUGUUGUAUGGGAAGAACAGCUAGAGUAGGGAAUGACUUUAGUUUGACGGUACCAUACCAGAAAGGGACGGCUAAAUACGUG